UUCGUGGUAUACUUAGAGCAAGUUAACAUAUUUGGAAGUUUUAAGUAUCAUUAAAAUUGCUAUCUACAAUUUUCUUAGAUGUUAAUUCAGUUGGUUACUUUGGUUUGAUUUCUAGGAGGAAUAUUAGUAUAUGCAAAAUGGUACUGUAAAAUGGUUUAAUGCGGAUAAGGGUUUUGGAUUUAUUACUGGUUCAGACGAUAAAGAUGUAUUUGUUCACUUUUCGUCAAUUCAAACUGAUGGGUUUAAGAGCCUUGAUGAAGGACAAAAAGUAAAUUAUGAAGUGGAACAAGGGGAUCGUGGCCCACAAGCUACUAACGUUGUUCCACAAUAAAGUAUCUUGAUACUGAUGAAACUGCUUUGCAACAAGGCAGUUUUUU
rnacentral:misc_RNA from 1 species